AUGAAUAAUUAAAAGUUAAAUUAUGGGAGUAACAGAGGUUCUCGAAAUUAAAAGAACUUGGCGGUAAACUAGUCUACUUAGAGGAAUCUGUACUAUAAAUGAUAUCCCCCAAAAAUCUUACUUGAGCAUUGCUUGUAUACCGCCGUAUUUAGAAUAACUAUAAGAAAGUUUUUUCGUGAGUAUAGAAGAUUAAGAAUUCAGGUCAAGGUGCAGUUUAUGUUUAAGAAUGAUAUGGAUUACAAUAAAAGGAAUUAAAAUGAAUAAACUCAUUGAAAAGUGAGGUUGAAGGUGGAUUUAAAUGUAAAUUUUACAAAACAAUGGAAAGUUGAAUAAGAGUUAGUUUUAUGC
rnacentral:rRNA from 1 species